GCUAAGAAUCUUCCGCAAUGGGCGAAAGCCUGACGGAGCGACGCCGCGUGAACGAAGAAGGCCGUGAGGUUGUAAAGUUCUUUUCGGGAGGGGGAACAACCGUGGCAGGGAAUGGCCGCGGGAUGACGUGAAUCCCGGAAUAAGCCCCGGCUAACUACGUGCCAGCAGCCGCGGUAACACGUAGGGGGCGAGCGUUGUUCGGAAUCAUUGGGCGUAAAGGGCGUGCAGGCGGUCCUGCAAGUCCGGCGUGAAAGACCCCGGCCCCACCGGGGGGACGCGCUGGAAACUGCAGGGGUUGAGUACAGGAGGGGAUGCCGGAAUUCCAGGUGUAGGGGUGAAAUCUGUAGAUAUCUGGAAGAACACCAAUGGCGAAGGCAGGCAUCUGGCCAUGUACUGACGCUGAGACGCGAAGGUGCGGGGAGCAAACAGGUUUAGAAACCCGGGUAGUCC
rnacentral:rRNA from 1 species